GAUUAACGCUGGCGGCGUGCAUAACACAUGCAAGUCGAACGAUGAAACUUUUUUGAUUUCUUCGGAAUGAUUAAAAGUGGAUUAGUGGCGGACGGGUGAGUAACGCGUGAGUAACCUGCCUUAGAGAAGGGGAUAGCCUUUGGAAACGAAGAAUAAUACCCUAUGAAACCAUAACCUCGCAUGAGGAAUUGGUCAAAGAUUUAUCGCUCUAAGAUGGACUUGCGUCUGAUUAGUUAGUUGGUGGGGUAACGGCCCACCAAGACAGCGAUCAGUAGCCGGCUUGAGAGAGUGUACGGCCACAUUGGGACUGAGACACGGCCCAGACUCCUACGGGAGGCAGCAGUGGGGAAUUUUGCACAAUGGGGGAAACCCUGAUGCAGCGACGCCGCGUGAUUUAGAAGGCCUUCGGGUUGUAAAAAUCUUUUCUAUGGGAAGAAAAUGACAGUACCAUAGGAAUAAGAACCGGCUAAUUACGUG
rnacentral:rRNA from 1 species